CUUCCUCGAUCUGCUGCGGGCAGAUGAAAUGGAUGUGGGUGUCGACGCCUCCGGCGGUGACGAUCAUGCCUUCGCCGGCGAUGAUCUCGGUGGCGGCGCCGAUCGCGAUUGUGACGCCCGGCUGGAUGUCCGGGUUGCCGGCCUUGCCGAUGGCGGCGAUGCGCCCGUUGCGGAUGCCGAUGUCGGCCUUGACGAUGCCCCAGUGGUCGACGAUGACGGCGUUCGUGAUCACGGUAUCCAUCACUUCGGCGUGGGGACGCUGCGACUGGCCCAUGCCGUCGCGGAU
rnacentral:sRNA from 1 species